rnacentral:RNase_P_RNA from 2 species
UCGGGGAGCCGGGCAGCCGCGUGCCUUCGGGCGCGAGGAAAGUCCGGGCUCCACGAAACAAGGGUGGCGGGUAACGCCCGCCCGCAACGGGUCCGCCCGGUGCGAGGGAAAGUGCAACAGAGAGUAGACCGCCUCUCUUGAGAGGUAAGGCUGAAAGGGUGCGGUAAGAGCGCACCGGGGCGCCGGUAACGGGGCCCGCAUGGUAAACCCCACCCGGAGCAAGGCCAAAUAGGGGCCUCGCGCCAGCUUGCUGGCAGGGAUGUUUCGUCCCGAGAGGCCCGGGUUGGCUGCUUGAGCGGCGGAGCAAUCCGUCGCCCAGAUGAAUGGUUGCCGCCGCGGAUACGGUCCGGUUUCGGAUACCGUCCGUGGACACAGAACCCGGCUUACAGGCUCCCCGACGCU